GACGAACGCUGGCGGCGUGCUUAACACAUGCCAGUCGAACGGAAAGGCCCUGCUUUUGUGGGGUGCUCGAGUGGCGAACGGGUGAGUAACACGUGAGUAACCUGCCCUUGACUUUGGGAUAACUUCAGGAAACUGGGGCUAAUACCGGAUAGGAGCUCCUGCUGCAUGGUGGGGGUUGGAAAGUUUCGGCGGUUGGGUAUGGACUCGCGGCUUAUCAGCUUGUUGGUGGGGUAGUGGCUUACCAAGGCUUUGACGGGUAGCCGGCCUGAGAGGGUGACCGGCGACAUUGGGACUGAGAUACGGACCAGACUCCUACGGGAGGCAGCAGUGGGGAAUAUUGCACAAUGGGCGGAAGCCUGAUGCAGCAACGCCGCGUGCGGGAUGACGGCCUUCGGGUUGUAAACCGCUUUCGCCUGUGACGAAGCGUGAGUGACGGUAAUGGGUAAAGAAGCACCGGCUAACUACGUG
rnacentral:rRNA from 1 species